rnacentral:tRNA from 1 species
GGCCACGUGGCGGAGUGGUGACGCAGCAGACUGCAAAUCUGCGCACCCCGGUUCGAUUCCGGGCGUGGCCUCCA